GAUGAACGCUAGCGGGAGGCCUAAUACAUGCAAGUCGAGCGGGAUCCGCCUUUCGGGGUGGUGAGAGCGGCGAACGGGUGAGUAACGCGUACGUAACCUGCCUUACAGAGGGAGAUAGCCCCGGGAAACUGGGAUUAAUAUUCCAUGGUAUCAUAGGGUCGCAUGGUCUUAUGAUUAAAGUUGAGGCGCUGUAAGAUGGGCGUGCGUGCUAUUAGCUAGUUGGUGAGGUAACGGCUCACCAAGGCUACGAUAGCUAGGGGGCGUGAGAGCGUGGCCCCCCACACGGGUACUGAGACACGGACCCGACUCCUACGGGAGGCAGCAGUAAGGAAUAUUGGACAAUGGUCGGAAGACUGAUCCAGCCAUCCCGCGUGAAGGAUGACUGCCCUAUGGGUUGUAAACUUACUUUUAUAUGGGAAGAAACCCCUGGAUUUAUCUGGGGCUGACGGUACCAUAUGAAUAAGCACCGGCUAACUCCGUGCCAGCAGCCGCGGUAAUACGGAGGGUGCAAGCGUUAUCCGGAAUCACUGGGUGUAAAGGGUGCGUAGGUGGCUUGGUAAGUCAGAGGUGAAAGCCCGUCGCUCAACGACGGAAUUGCCUUUGAUACUGCCGAGCUUGAAUUAGGUUGAGGUAGGCGGAAUGUGGCAUGUAGCGGUGAAAUGCAUAGAUAUGCCAUAGAACACCAAUUGCGAAGGCAGCUUACUGGACCUGGAUUGACGCUGAGGCACGAAAGCGUGGGGAUCAAACAGGAUUAGAUACCCUGGUAGUCCACGCCCUAAACGAUGCUUACUCGAUAUUUGUCCUCCGGGAUGAGUGUCCAAGGGAAACCGAUAAGUAAGCCACCUGGGGAGUACGCGCGCAAGCGUGAAACUCAA
rnacentral:rRNA from 1 species